rnacentral:rRNA from 1 species
CAGUCGCCGCGGGAAUACGAAGGGGGCUAGCGUUGUUCGGAAUUACUGGGCGUAAAGCGCACGUAGGCGGAUAUUUAAGUCAGGGGUGAAAUCCCGCAGCUCAACUGCGGAACUGCCUUUGAUACUGGGUAUCUUGAGUAUGGAAGAGGUUAGUGGAAUUGCGAGUGUAGAGGUGAAAUUCGUAGAUAUUCGCAGGAACACCAGUGGCGAAGGCGGCUAACUGGUCCAUAACUGACGCUGAGGUGCGAAAGCGUGGGGAGCAAACAGGAUUAGAGACCCCUGUAGUCCCUGUCUCUUAUAC